AGAUGGGGGGCCCUCAGGGUCUUGCAUGGCAAGAAACUGCAGACUGGAAACACUGCUCCUCGUAUCUUAAGUAAAGGCUUUGCGAUGAUUGAUUAUUUUUCCUCUGAUAAAUACCUGGUUUUCAAAAGCAGUCUAAUUAGUAGGGAUCUCCAUUUUCCAAGUAUUCGAAAUGCAUUUGGCUGUCCUAUCAUUAAACCCAGACCCAGGAGACCAGCCGAGAUGUCUGAGCCCUUCCCACGUUCGAGGCAGAGAUACUCCUGCUCACCGAAUAUCCUCGAGUAACCCUGUAUUUCCCGCCCCGCUGCCAUUUGCCAGGGCCAGCCGACUGGUUCUGAGCAAUGGGCAGGGAGCACAAGGGACUUGUACAUGAUCCUGCAGAAACCCUAAAGGUCACGCGUGAAAGCCAUCACAAGAUGGAACUGAGUCACCACAAAGAGCACAGCUGCCCUUGACGGUCACCUGAUUCAUCGUGGCCUUUGUAUGAGCGAAAAACAAACUUCUGUGGUGUUAGCCUUCUGAAAUGAAACACUGGGAUUUUUUGUGACUGCAGAAAAGCCCAACUUAACCUAUCAAUACAACAGGACGCUGAAGAGGGCUCCUAUAAUCACCCCAUUUUGGAAGACCCCACUGCAAGCCUCUUAUCUUGAUGUGUUUGUAGCAGAUGGAGAGAAGAUGCUCUCUCCUCGGACCCCAAGGACUCCCCAGUUACGAAAUGCUCCAUCGGCAUUCACACGUGCAGUAAAUAAUCAUUGAGUGCCAACCACGUGCCAGGGCCCUUAUUGGCACUGGGGAUUGCGUGGUUAGCAAAACGGACUCCAUCUCGUCUUUGCCUACAGCUUUCAGUCCGUCGGAGGAGACUGCUGCUCGACAAAUAAGCAUGCCGAUGAGUGCAGAAUAACUAGCAGAGCAUCUCACAGCUCAGCCACUGGGUUCCAAGAGGCAGUGUCAUGUUUGCAAAUGCAGAAGAACGGCAGAUCUCAGGUCUGGAUUCCAUUGGUCAGAACAGAUCACAAGUCCAGCCCAGGUUCAAGAGGAAGUGACUCCACCUCCUGGUGGCAGGACUAGCAAAGGAUUUGCAGCCACCUUUAAUCCACCAGAAGGGAAAAAACAAAAGGAACCGGAGGAAGCUUUUGGAGGCAAUGGG